AUCCUUCUGUAGUUCAUAAGCAUGAUGUUUGGGUGUCAAUUCUUUCACGUGACUUGUGCCUGCCUCAAACCUUGUUAUGACAUCGGCACAUUACCCAUCUGACU